AGAGUUUGAUCAUGGCUCAGGACGAACGCUGGCGGCGUGCCUAAUACAUGCAAGUCGAGCGGACGAAUCGAAAGCUUGCUUUUGAUUCGUUAGCGGCGGACGGGUGAGUAACACGUGGGCAACCUGCCCUGUAGACGGGGAUAACACCGAGAAAUCGGUGCUAAUACCGGAUAACACGAAAUGUCGCAUGACGUUUCGUUGAAAGACGGCGCAAGCUGUCGCUACAGGAUGGGCCCGCGGCGCAUUAGCUAGUUGGUGAGGUAACGGCUCACCAAGGCGACGAUGCGUAGCCGACCUGAGAGGGUGAUCGGCCACACUGGGACUGAGACACGGCCCAGACUCCUACGGGAGGCAGCAGUAGGGAAUCUUCCGCAAUGGACGAAAGUCUGACGGAGCAACGCCGCGUGAGCGAAGAAGGCCUUCGGGUCGUAAAGCUCUGUUGUUAGGGAAGAACAAGUAACGCAGUAACUGGCGUUACCGUGACGGUACCUAACGAGAAAGCCACGGCUAACUACGUGCCAGCAGCCGCGGUAAUACGUAGGUGGCAAGCGUUGUCCGGAAUUAUUGGGCGUAAAGCGCGCGCAGGCGGUUCCUUAAGUCUGAUGUGAAAGCCCACGGCUCAACCGUGGAGGGUCAUUGGAAACUGGGGGACUUGAGUGCAGAAGAGGAGAGCGGAAUUCCACGUGUAGCGGUGAAAUGCGUAGAGAUGUGGAGGAACACCAGUGGCGAAGGCGGCUCUCUGGUCUGUAACUGACGCUGAGGCGCGAAAGCGUGGGGAGCAAACAGGAUUAGAUACCCUG
rnacentral:rRNA from 1 species